rnacentral:rRNA from 1 species
UUUAUGGAGAGUUUGAUCCUGGCUCAGGAUGAACGCUGGCGGCGUGCCUAAUACAUGCAAGUCGAGCGAACGGACGAGAAGCUUGCUUUUCUGAUGUUAGCGGCGGACGGGUGAGUAACACGUGGAUAACCUACCUAUAAGACUGGGAUAACUUCGGGAAACCGGAGCUAAUACCGGAUAAUAUUUUGAACCGCAUGGUUCAAAAGUGAAAGACGGUCUUGCUGUCACUUAUAGAUGGAUCCGCGCUGCAUUAGCUAGUUGGUAAGGUAACGGCUUACCAAGGCAACGAUGCAUAGCCGACCUGAGAGGGUGAUCGGCCACACUGGAACUGAGACACGGUCCAGACUCCUACGGGAGGCAGCAGUAGGGAAUCUUCCGCAAUGGGCGAAAGCCUGACGGAGCAACGCCGCGUGAGUGAUGAAGGUCUUCGGAUCGUAAAACUCUGUUAUUAGGGAAGAACAUAUGUGUAAGUAACUGUGCACAUCUUGACGGUACCUAAUCAGAAAGCCACGGCUAACUACGUGCCAGCAGCCGCGGUAAUACGUAGGUGGCAAGCGUUAUCCGGAAUUAUUGGGCGUAAAGCGCGCGUAGGCGGUUUUUUAAGUCUGAUGUGAAAGCCCACGGCUCAACCGUGGAGGGUCAUUGGAAACUGGAAAACUUGAGUGCAGAAGAGGAAAGUGGAAUUCCAUGUGUAGCGGUGAAAUGCGCAGAGAUAUGGAGGAACACCAGUGGCGAAGGCGACUUUCUGGUCUGUAACUGACGCUGAUGUGCGAAAGCGUGGGGAUCAAACAGGAUUAGAUACCCUGGUAGUCCACGCCGUAAACGAUGAGUGCUAAGUGUUAGGGGGUUUCCGCCCCUUAGUGCUGCAGCUAACGCAUUAAGCACUCCGCCUGGGGAGUACGACCGCAAGGUUGAAACUCAAAGGAAUUGACGGGGACCCGCACAAGCGGUGGAGCAUGUGGUUUAAUUCGAAGCAACGCGAAGAACCUUACCAAAUCUUGACAUCCUUUGACAACUCUAGAGAUAGAGCUUUCCCCUUCGGGGGACAAAGUGACAGGUGGUGCAUGGUUGUCGUCAGCUCGUGUCGUGAGAUGUUGGGUUAAGUCCCGCAACGAGCGCAACCCUUAAGCUUAGUUGCCAUCAUUAAGUUGGGCACUCUAAGUUGACUGCCGGUGACAAACCGGAGGAAGGUGGGGAUGACGUCAAAUCAUCAUGCCCCUUAUGAUUUGGGCUACACACGUGCUACAAUGGACAAUACAAAGGGCAGCGAAACCGCGAGGUCAAGCAAAUCCCAUAAAGUUGUUCUCAGUUCGGAUUGUAGUCUGCAACUCGACUACAUGAAGCUGGAAUCGCUAGUAAUCGUAGAUCAGCAUGCUACGGUGAAUACGUUCCCGGGUCUUGUACACACCGCCCGUCACACCACGAGAGUUUGUAACACCCGAAGCCGGUGGAGUAACCUUUUAGGAGCUAGCCGUCGAAGGUGGGACAAAUGAUUGGGGUGAAGUCGUAACAAGGUAGCCGUAUCGGAAGGUGCGGCUGGAUCACCUCCUUU